GAGCAAGGGCGUCCAAUUAAAAAAAUGGCGCAAAUUGCAUUGAAGGUUGGCGAUAAUAAAAAGCGAUUCUCCGUGCCUGUCAAAUUUUUGGUUUUGAUUUUGGCCUCGAACAAGUCGCAACAUU